UAUCAUCGUUCCCCAAUCUCACCCCUCUCGCUGCCGCCCACACACAACACACAGACCUAAACCUAACGCGCCCGCGCCGCCACCCACGACCUUCGUGCCGCCGGUCAAGCCCGCACGCUGGUCCCCUCAUGCCACUGCAUCUCAAACCCCGGGCGUUCCUUCCCUCAGCCCGCAUCAGCAGCAGCGCCGUCCGCGACAGAGGAGCAUCGUCCGCCCACCACCCGCCGUUGAGGAGCAGCAGCGCCGUCCGUUGCUGAGGAGCCGCCCGCCGUUCUUCUUCCUCCACCGGCGACACGUGUACCUCCAGAUCUCAACAAGUUUAAGGGGCAUGGCAUGUUGGCACCAUUCACAGCUGGAUGGCAGAGCAAUGGUGUGCAUCUGUUGGUUCUUGAGAGAUCUGAGGGUUCUUAUGUUUAUAACAUCAAUGGGAAUAAGUAUCCAGAUUCUCUAGCAGGACUGUGGUGUACAACUUUAGGAGUACCAAAUUUGUGAAGACUUUCAUUUUUACAUUCGUUACUUUCAGCCGCUGAACAAACUAAGGUAAAGAACGAAAAACACGGAAAAGGCUAGCUGUUGGCUGUGGGUGCUGAGCUGACGGACAGUGUGGAAGAAGAAGGUGUGAUCUUGGCAGUGGCCCAUGAAGCAGUUUUUUUCUUUGCAUGCUGAUCACUACUGCACUGUUCAGAUUCUUAAUCAAGUGACUGAUCGACUGUGAUUGUGGGUCGCAACCAAGGGAAUGCUAACCGUGGUGGUGGUGGUGGUGAUUGAAGAGCCCUUAAUCAAUUCGGCCCUGUAGAUUGGAGCAGCAACAUGGGAUAUUGCACCAUCUAGCUCCGUCUAUAUGAUUCAUCUUAUGUUCUUGGUCUAUCAACUAGAGGAAUCUACAGAUUCUUGAAUACGUUCCUGACCUCGCGCAAUCGAUAGUCGGUCUGAUCUCAUCCUCCAACGACCAAGAGUUCCGAGACGAAUGCGUGGUGCCCCUCGCGAAACAUAGAACGGCUUCAGCAUCACAGGAUGUGCAAUAAUAAGAGCAAAAUUUAUCAUCCACUUCACAGAGAAAAUUUCGUAUCAAAUGUACUUAAACACACUCUGUUCACAGUUAGACCUGUUUGUCAAUGUAUUUUGUCGCCUUUUUAUUUACCCCCUUGUUGUACUCUUUUCUCAUCACUGUAUUUGUCCAUCAGCCAUCCCUUCUCUUCCCUUGUGCUUCCCUCUUUUUUCUGGUCUUCUUCAAAUCUCUAAAGUUACAGUAAGAACCUUAUUACUGAUGCCUUAGAACAAAUCUGAUUGCUUAAGAAUGGGCGCAUAAUUUUCAUAGUAAGCCAUGUGAUUUGGUAGGAGCUAGCGUGGCCUUGGUUUAUUUUAUGAUAAGGACAUCUUAUGUAACCAAACUGUUUGCAAUAUCUUCUAUUUUUUAGAUAUUGUUUUAGAUCUUUGGGAUCAUUGGCAACUCGCAAGUUUGAACAAAUUCUCAUUUCUUUUUUUGAUAAAGGGUGAUUUUAUUAUCUCAAAUGUAGCAUCAAGCGGAUACAAAGCAUUAUGAGUAACACCCGGCCUCUGCAUAACUAGGAUGUACACGGCCCAAUAUGAAGGUCUGACAAAAAAUGAUGAAAAAAAACCGACAAAUCGGCAACAGUAGAGCCCUAUAGACCAACACUAUGCCUAUGUCGAUGGAGGUGGUGGAUCGAUCCGAAGGUUAUGUUGCCACCCAUGUUGGGAAAAAACCUCCAUAGCCACCAGCUCCAAUUGCAUAGCUCCAAUUGAAUACACACCGCCUUGAACAGCGGUUGGUCCUCCAGUCGAUGUAACAUAGGCCACAUACGUAGCAAUUGCGUACACCGGAAAAUAACCUGUAGAGGAGAAGCAUUUCUUCCAUUAAAAACAAAAUCAUUUCUACAUAGCCAAAGCGACCAAAUUAAGGCAUACGCUCCCACCCUUAUUAACGUUUUGAACCUAUUUGAAAUACCGUCCAACCAAUGACCAAAAAUAUUGGCAACAGUUGUGGGCGGAUACAAAUUUGACGCUAUUUGGAUGACAGACCACGUAGAACGUGCAAACUUGCAUUGGAAAAGGAGGUGUUUGAUUGUCUCGUCAUGAGUACAAAAACAACACUUCUUACUCCCUUGCCAGUUGCGUCAUGCGAGAUUGUCUUUGGUUAACACAACCCCCUACGAAGAUACCACAUGAAAAUUUUCACUUUUAGUGGAAUCUUGGACUUCCAAAUUUUCUUGUUAUUACUCACUGGUACCUCAGAAUGUGUGAGCGCACGAUACAUAAGUCUACAGUGAAAGACCCUGAUGUAGUAAGGUUCCAGUGAAACACAUCCCGGCCUUGUGUCAGGUUAAUCGAAUCUAGUCGGGAUAAAAGAUUAUGCCAUGACACAAGUCGGGGGCCAAUCAAAUCCCGCCUGAAUGAAAUAUUCGCGAGAAUGAACUGAGCACUUGCGCAAUAGUAUUAUUCUUAUCGCGAACAAUGUUGUAUAAGCCUGGAUAUUGUUCUCGGAGACUGGCAUUGCCUAGCCAGAUGUCUUCCCAAAAACGAAUCUCCGACCCAUCCUUUAUCGCGAAAGACCCAAAGCGAAAGAGAUGUUUCUUUGCCGCCAUUAGGUCAGCCCAAAAGUGCGAAUCGCCAGGUUUCCAAAAUGCCUGGGACACCGCCUUUUGACCUAGAUACUUGUUGCGCAGCAUGGUUUGCCAAACACCAUCCUCAGUAAGUUUGAACAACCAUUUACUGAGUAGGGCCUCGUUUUUGACCUGCAAGUCAUGGAUUUCGAGCCCUCCUUGGUCUUUCGGCCUACAAACCACGCUUCAUUUGGCCAGCCUGUAUUUUUUUUUCACCGUCUCCUUGCCAAAAGAAUCUGGAUCUGAAAUAAUCCAGUCUUUUUAGGACCCCUUUUGGGAGUUGGAAGAAAGAAAGCAUAUAGAGAACCAUAUUUGUGAGGAUAGAGUUAAUUAAAACCAGUCGUCCUCCAACUGAGAGUAGUUUGCCUUUCCAACUACUCAAUCGUUUCUCUAGACGCUCCUCUACAUGCUUCCACUUCGCAAUGGUGAGGCGUCGAUAAUGAAUCGGUAUUCCCAGAUAUUUAAUCAGGAAUUGGCCAUGUGCGCAACUAAAUAGGUCAGCAUAAUCGGCCACCGCCUCAACGGCUUCUCCAAAGCAGAACAAUUCGCUUUUAUGGAAGUUUAUUUUGAGACCCGACAUUUGCUCAAACGCUGAAAGCAAGAGUUUCAGGUUUCGAGCCUUGUCCAGAUCAUGUUCCAUAAAAAGAAUUGUGUCAUUGGCGUAUUGUAAAAUAGAGAGGCCACCAUCCACAAGGUGUGGCACUACUCCUGCAAUCUGGCCGUCCUGCUUGGCGCGCUCAAUCAGAAUCGCCAACAUGUCAGCGACAAUGUUAAAUAACAUUGGGGACAUGGAGUCACCCUGCCGUAGUCCAUUUUUUGCCUGAAAGUAAUGGCCUACAUCAUCAUUGACUUUGAUGGCCACACUACCACCAGUUACAAAAUUGUGGAUCCACUGGCGCCAUUUAUCAGAGAAACCUUUCAUCCUUAGGGCCUGUUGAAGGAAAGACCACUUGACCUUGUCAUAUGCCUUUUCAAAGUCAAUUUUGAAUAUCACUCCACUCAUGUUUUUUCGGUGCAUCUCGUGGACGGUCUCAUGCAGGAUUACUACACCAUCUAGUAUAUUUCGUCCUUGCAUAAAGGCCGUUUGAGAUGGACGGACAACACGAUCAGCUAUCAAGUUUAACCUAUUCGUAGCCACUUUGGUGAAAAUCUUGAAGCUAACAUUAAGGAGACAUAUGGGUCUGAACUGCUGAAUCCGUUCAGCCUCCUUAAUCUUUGGCAACAAAACAAUCUCGCCAAAAUUUAUUCUGAAUAGAUCAAGUCGAUCGGCAUGAAGACAAUUGAACAACUCCAAAAGGUCAGCCUUGAUGAUAUCCCAGAAAUUCUGAUAGAAUUCUGCGGGGAAACCAUCAGGGCCUGGAGCUUUGUUGUGUUCCAUUUGGAACACCGCCGCUCUCACCUCCUCUUCUGAGAAAGGUGUUGUGAGGAUAUCAUUCUCUUCUGCCGUGACUUGUGGAAUAUCAUCUAUUCGGGUCUCGUCAAGGGUGACAUUCCCUUCAUCCGACGCUCCGAACAGAGAUUUGUAGUAGCUGGUGAUAUAGUUUUUGAGCUCCCUUUGACCUUCGAUCCGCCCCUCAUCCUGUUGGAGACUAUGAAUACAUUUCUUCCUAUGUCGACCAUUGGCGAGCAAUUGGAAGUAUCUUGUAUUACUAUCUCCCAUUAGAAUGAAGUCAGCUUUGGACCUCUGGUAGUAUUUGAUCUCCUCUUCUCGCAGAAGAC